UGUGUUUCUUCUUUUGUUUUUGUGGCCCCAAAGCCUCAUGUUGGGAAUUAUUGAUUCCCAAAAAACUGGAUUCGACACUAAAUCGAACUCCUAAAACAAGUGCGGAAGAUGAGCCCGGAAAAAUCACAUGUAUCAUCGAUCCUAAGGCACAUCAUAGAAUCGAAUGUACUUUGUUAGCUACAGAUUAAACACCGACACCGAUAUGAGGAAGAGAAACUAAUCCCGUUCGAUCCGAUGACGUGAAUUUGCCUUGAAGGGAAGAGAGUGUCGCCUCCCUUUUUUUACUGUUCUUUUUGGAGUGUUUUAAGGGAGAGAGGCAGGAGGAACGUACGUAAAUCCAAAAGGUGCGUUCCUCCCUCUCUUUUCCCCCUUAAAUACGUCCUCUCCAAGGGACAUGUCCCUUCGGCAAAAAACGUACCCCAAAAGUUACAACUUUUCAACGUAUCCCUCCAUCCAUGGGCUCUAAUUUUGUGGGCUAGGCUUUUAGGCCCAGAUGAGCGGACGGGCCAACUUAGGCCCAUCAUAAUAAUUAAUAAAACCAUCAUCUCCCAAUCGCACAUGGUGGGCCGAACAUGAUCCUCUUUACCUCUUUUCAACAUUCAUAUCGGUGAAUAAUCUGUGCGACCAGCAUACUUUGAGAGCUCGUUGCCAUACAUCUGUUAGGAAUAUAUAGCAACUCAUAAUGAGCAUCACAGUCUGAGUAGAUUUAGUAUGCAGUACCCUAGAUCAAUCGAUUACAUUUAUAUCUCCCUUGAUCUCUUUUAAACAAUGAAUAUAUAUAUAUAUAUAUAUAUAUAUAUAUAUAUAUAUAUAUAUUGUAUUCACAAUUAUGAUUAUCCCAAAGACAGUCAUAAUUGGUCGACCAGUGAAUACAAAAACUAUAAUGUUGUUCUCCAAAUUCGAUCUUCCUAUUUCCUUCAAAUUCUCAAUCUCAGUUCAGUUUGCUUUUCUAGAAAUGUCCCAUUAGAUCGAAUUAACUCAUGACCAUUAGUAACAUCCUAAGAUAGCAAACACUAAAUAGAAAUAUUGAGAAUAAGUAAGAGUGAUGAGGGCACUCAAAUUGAGGGACUCUUUUCCUCAACAGUCUCACACGGCAUAAAAGUUGAGAUCAAACUUUUGCCACUCUUAUUGAUUGUCUCAUGCAUAUGUAGUAUGAAAUAUGUAUUACGGUAUUAACUCCUUUCCCAUGGAGUGUAUGUUUACACCUUCAAUACCGUACGGAUGAUAGUUCAGACAUAUCCAAUGUCUAACUUGAGUUCACGUAUCUACUCAUUCACAUAAUUCAUCAGAACUCACAUUUGGCAUCUUAAACAGAUAAAAUAAAAUAUGUAGGGUAUUUUACUUUCGAAUAUAAUACAUAUCAUGUCCUUAUCUUAAUACUUAGUUAAGGCGACGUAUAUAUUUUAAGCUUGAGCUCUCGAUUAUCACAUAGAUAAUAAGCUUAAAAAAACCGUAUCAUCUCUAUUUAUCACAUAGUAAAUAGAGACAAUUACCCGUGUGAGUGGGUCAAUCUUAUAUCUAUUCGACAUACUUUCUCAACUUAAUAUAAUGCACUGAGCAUUAAGAUGCAUAAAGAUCAAACAAAGAUUCAUAAGUAUUAAUAAUGAAACAUACAAGUUCAUAAAUGUGAACAACUCAAGGAAAUUACAAUAUCCAAUACAUCAGAUUCUACGCAAUCUUAGAUAUUUUACAUGACCACAAAACACAUCUCUAGGUAUUGGCUUUGUCAUAGGAUCUACUAUCAUUUUAUGCAUAAAUAUGUAUUGUAAGUUCACAUCCUUUCGAGCAACCAUAUCUUUGACAAAGUUAUACUUGGUAUCUAUAUGUUUGGUCUUGCCAUGAUAUUUUGGAUAUUUGGUGUACGCUAUAACUGCUUGGCUAUCACAGUUAACCAAUAAUGGAUUUGCAGCUUUCUCAAUAACACCUAAAUGAUCCAAAAAUCUCUUAAGCCAAACUCCUUCUUGUACCGCUGCUGAUAAUACCACGAACUCAGCUUCCAUCGUGGACAAGACUAUACACGUUUGCUUCUUACUGCUCCAUGAUAUUGCGACAUUGUUCAGUAAGAAAGCAAAUCCAGAGGUAGAUUUUCUUUCAUCUAAAUCUCCCCCCAAUCAGCAUUUGAAUAGCCUUCAAGUCGCAGAUCAUUUCCUUGGUAAUUCAGCUUGUAAUCAGCAGUUCCCUUCAGAUACCUCAAUAUUUUCUUAACAGCUUUUCAAUGUGCUUGACCUGGAUUGGAUUGGUAUCUACUCACAAUUCCAACUGCAAAACAUAUGUCAAGUCUUGUAUACAUCAUAGCGUACAUCAAGCUCCCAACAACAUUAGCAUAAGGAACAUGUUUCAUUUGUUCAUUUUCUUGUGGAGUCCUUGGACACAGUUUAUGGCUUAAUCUUUCACCUUUUGCAAUAGGAGUGUCUAUGGGUUUACAAUCUUGCAUACGAAAUCGUUCAAGAACAUUAUUGAUGUAUGUUUCUUGCGAAAGAGAUAACGAUCUCUUCGAACGAUCUCUUGAAAUCUUAACUCCAAGAAUGUAUGCAGCUUCACCCAUAUCCUUCAUCUCAAAGUUGGAAGACGACCAAUUCUUGACAGUAUUAACAAACUACAUAUUACUUCCGGCAAUUAGUAUAUUAUCAACAUAUAAUGAUAUGAUCACAAAUUGAUCUUUGGUCUUUUGAUAUAUACACAAUGAUCCUCAUCUAUCAUUGUAAAAUCAUAUGCCAUUAUGGCAUUAUAAAAACGUAUAUACCAUUGUUUUGACGACUGCUUAAGGCCAUAUAUCGGUCUCAAAAGUCGACAUACAUUUUCUUCUUGGCCUUUCAUUAUGAAACAAGCAUGUUGUUUCAUAUAUAUUUUUUCCUCUAAUUCUUCAUUGAGGAAAUUAGUCUUUACAUCCAUUUAAUGUAACUCAAGAUCCAUAUUAGUCACUAUUGCCAAAAUAAUGCGAAUCGAGGUAAAUCUUACUACGGGAGAAAAUGUUUAUUCAUAAUCAAUUCAUUCUUAUUGAUUAUACCCCUUCGCCAUAAGGCGAGCCUUAUGCCUUUUUAUCGAGCCAUCAGCUUUACGCUUUAUUUUGAGAACCCACUUGUUCCUAAUAGCUUUACGUUUUUUUUGGAAGAUCAACCAGUUUCCAAACUUGGUUUGACUUCAUUGACUCAAUCUCCUCUUCCAUUGUAUGAAUAUAUUUUUCUUUACUAUGGCAAGUUAGAGCCUCAUUACUAUUUCUUGGCUCAUCCUAAUCUUGUGGAGCAACUAUGAAAGUUUCCCCUUCGAUGUCAAAAUGUCAACGGGGAAUACUUUUGCAACUUGUUCACCGUAUGGGAGAUUGUACACUUUGCACAUAAUUCCCCAUCAUGCUCCCACUCGGAUUAGAUAAUGACAAUAUCAUCUCAUCAUGUGGUUGUAAUUGAGAGUGAGUUGAAUUAGAUUUAUCACUUCUCAUGUUACUCCCACUUGGACGAACUCCACUAAUAUCAUUAUCUUGAUCCAAGGUUUCAAAUAUGGAGUAAUUUUCACAUAUUUCUCCAUUCUUAGGAAAUUCAUUUUCUAAGAAUAUGACAUCCCCUGAUUCAAAUUCAGUUAUACUUCAACUUUCUUGCUCACCUAUGAACACAUAUUUUUUCGAGUGUUCAGAGUAUCUUAUGAAAAUACUCUUCUUUCCUCUAGGACCCAAUUUCCUAAACUUGUGAGAGGGCUCAUGAGUAUAGGCAGCACAACCCCAUGGCUUAAGAAAACUUAAGUCCGAUUUUCUACCUGUUCAUAACUCAUAUGGAGUGGAAAUAACUUAUUUGGAAGGCACUCGGUUAAGUAUAUAUGCAGCAGUUAACAACACAUCACUCCAAAAAGUGAUAGGUAAGUUAGCAUGCGCCAUCAUGGACUUAACAUUUCCAGUAGGGUUCUGUUUCUUCCUUCUGCAACACCAUUUUGUUAAGGAGUAUAUGGAAUAGACAACUGUCUUUCUAUUCAUUUUUCAUUACAUAAUUUUCUGAACUCAUCAGAUAAAUAUUUUCGACCUCGAUCAGAUCUUAAUACUUUUAUUUUCUUGUCUAAUUGAUUUUUCUACUAAGUUCAUAAACCUUUUGAAAUAACUUAAUGUUUCAGAUUUAUGAGAAAUCAAAUAAAUAUAUCUGAAUUGAGUAUAAUCAUCUAUAAAAGUGAUUAAAUAAACAGCCACAUGCCUUCCUCUCACAUUCAUUGGACCACAGAUGUCGGAAUGGAUUAAAUGCAGAGGAAAUUAAGCUCUUUUACAUUUUCCAAAUUGUUUCAUUGUCGUUUCCCCUACUAAGCAAUGCUCACAUAUGGGCAAAUUGACUUUUUCAAUGUUGCCCAACAAGCCCUCUUUGGCUAGUCUAUUCAUACGUUGUUACCCAAUAUGACCAAGUCUAGCAUGCCACACAUUCACAUCAUUAUCAUAUAAAUUAGGAACGUGAUAAGGGAAUAACAAACAUUUGCAUUAACAUAGUCAAUAUCUAAUACAAUGAAACCAUCUAGAAAAUAACCACAACUAUAGAAAUUUGUAUCCAAAAACAAAUCCACACAUCUAUUAUGGAAGUUCAUAUUAAAACCUAGCUUGACCAACACUAAAACAAACACAAAAUUCUGACGAAUGUCUAAAGUAUACAAUACAUCAUGUAUGAAUAAAGUGCGUCCACCACGCAUGUUCAAUUGGCAGGUGCCAAUUCCUUUUACUUCAGCUCUGGAGUUGUUUCCCACAUAGAUCCACUUAGUUCCAGUUGGUACUCGUCAGAAUUCCACGAAGGAUUCUCUAUGCUUUGCUACAUGGUCUGUCGCUCCUGAAUCCACGGUCCACAAAGGAUUAGACUUAGUUAAGAAUACAGAACUCGACACAUAAGCAAAAUUCUGAAAAGUACAAUGGGUGUAUACCUUCUUUGGCUCACGACAGUAGCGAGCAUAGUGACUCUUCUUGUCACAAUUGUAACACUUCACCCUUGUAAGCUUCUUCAAUCGAGGACGCUUUCCUCUUUCAUGUUGGUUAAGCUUAGGUUUCUUCCCUGAAGGACCCGCUUCAUUGCAUUUCCCUUUAUCGAAUCAGUUAGGACGUUUGCGCUUGGAGCUCGAAGCUAACCAUCAUGAUAGAUUUCAGCUUCCAUCUUAGCUGCCAAGAGGCGAUUCUCUUCCCGCUCAAGAUGACGCACUGCAUCCUCAAAGGUUUUGAUAUUCUCAUUAUGGGUCAGGUGCACCUUCAUAUGCUCCCAACUCUGAGGCAAGGAACGAAUCACUGCUUGCACUUGCUGCUCAUCAGUUAGACAUGGCCAGCAUCUUUCAGCUCAUUAAUCAUAUUUGACAUCUUUCUAAGGUGUUGCUUCAUGGUUUGACCAUGAAGCUUCUUAUAAGAGUCAAAUCUAAUAGUGAACUGUCUCAGUCUAGUCACCGAAGUAUGACCAAAUAUUGCUGCCAAUACUUCCCACAUUUCCUUAGCAUUCUCAAAACGCCUAAACUCUUGCAUGAUGUCAUUUUCCAUGCUACUCAACAAUGUAAUGCGAGCAAGAGAGUUCUUUCUUUUCCAUGCAACAAAUGCUUCCUUAUCUCUCUUGUGCUGUGCAGUGUUUCAUUCUUCAAGUUCUACCAUAGUCAGGUUAAGAGCUUCUAGUGCCUCUUGCUUUUCCAGCACAUAUUGGAUUUUCAUGUGCCAUAUUUCAUAAUUAUCGCCAUUGAGUUUCUCACAUUUGUUCAGCUCAACAAUUAUGCUCUUUGUGGUUGAAGCCAUUGAUUUGAAAAUAUCAAACAUAUAUGCACGAAUUAUUAAUGCCUAUCAUUUAUGCAUCCGUUUUGCACAAAACCAUCAUAUUAAUGAAUAAUUUCAAGUGAGGUUUUAGAAUUAAAAGGUCACUAUGUUUCCAAUCAUCAUCCAAAAUCCUAACUUGAAGUUAUUUAAUAUAACAUUCUAUGCAAAAUAAAUUCUUUGAAAUUACAAAAAUUUCUAUGAACUACCCACAACAAUUAAUAAUAACAGAAAGCAAAUAGUACUUAAUAUUAAACAAUGAUAUAAUAAUAAUGUUUUCACAUAAUACAACUAACAUAACAGUUGUCACACCAACAAUAACUAGGUAGAUAACAUUACAUAAGAUGUCCAAAAAGUACACUAAAUAAAGACCAGUCAAAACAUCUAGCACCAAGUCAAUAUACGAACUGGGAAAUAUUCUCUUUUGUUCAAUUUCUUGAUCUUUUCCCUUGUAACAAUCUAGUAAUAAGGUCUAGCAUUUUAGGGUCAUGAGGCGGAAUCCUCUCUACUGGAUUCCCGUGUAACUGUUCAUCGGUUGGUGUGAAGCUCAUUCCCGAAGAUCUAGCUGUUGGAUUGGCUUGAAGUUUGGAGGGAAGAUUCCCUACUAUCCCCUCUACAUUCCCACCGAAGGGAUUUGCAAGAGGAGGACUACAGCUCGAGUUAUCCCCUGCCUUAGGGGUCGGGCUCUGCAGUCUUCUAGUUUUGGAUUCGCUUCUGGUUUUCUGCAUUUCAAAGAGAUCUAACCGUUCGAUUGGAUUGUUUUUUAGAGUGUAGCUUCUAUGCAACAUCCUCUUCAACUACACCGUUUGGAUUUGGAAUCUAUGGGCUAAAUUUCGAGGAAACCAGUGACCUAGGUUUUGAAUUCUGCAGAUCAGGUUCUGGUUCUUCGUCUGGUUUCUACUUCUUUUACUGGAUCAGCUUUGGUUGGAUUGGGUUGAUAGUUUUAAGGAAGCUUCCUCCUACCUAUUUCAUCAUUCCCACCGAAGGAUUUAAGCUAAAGAGCCUUAGUUUGAGCGUGCGCACAAACUGUUCGACGAUAUUCUUGUAAGGGCCUGGGCUUGUUUGAGUAGGUUCUAGUGAUUCCGUUUGUUCGGUGCCUCAUCUGUAGAGGCUGUGACUGUGUUAGCACCUUUUAUCACCCUCCUUACAGCUCUCACCCAGCUAAUCGACCCAGGAUUGGUGCCGUCCAGGUGUUUGAUGUAAUGCCCCCUUCUACUGUUGUGGGGCAGAACAUAGAUUCUGCAGGUCAGCCUCUACUUGUCUCCUCCAUGGAGCUGCCCGACCACUCCCUUGGUGUGAGAGCCAUGCCAGAGGUGCCCGGGAGGCAAUUAGCUUAUUCCUCUGAGCCUAAUACUCAGAUUCCUAAGCAUCAAACCCACCAGAUCCCAGCUGGUCUGAAGAACAAGCAGCAAACUCAGCAGGACCCCUCAUCCAGGCCAAAUCGGUCGAGGGGUCGGAGUUGUUGGCGGUAAGCUUCUAAGAGACCGAUGCCCAACUCUGAUGGACAAGAUGAUUCAUCCCUUAUGCGCAAUGAUCAUCCCACAGAUGGACCGCAUGGUAGGACUAGGUCCGGCUCCAAGUGUACUCAACGUGGGGUGGUGGGGAAGUCCAACCUGCAGACUUGGGCUAGUGUUGCGGUUGCAAAGGUGGCCUUAAAGGGAUAUGAUCUGGAUUUCUGCCCCUCGACUUAUGUCCAAGAUCAAGCGGUCCUUCAAAUGACCAAGGAAGACCUUGAAGCUGCAGACCCUUUGCUCCAGGAAUGUCUCGUGGACUGUUACAUAGGCCGACGUAUACCUUUCAAGGUAACCAAAGCUGCCUUCAGGAGAGCUUAAGGGUCGAAUUUAGCCAAAGUGAUGGCCAAUGGCAAGGGAUUAUUUUUCUUCCACCUCCCGGAUAAGGAGUUUCGCCGUAAGGUCCUUGAGGGGCUGCCUUUGUCCGUUUCAAGGAUUCCCAUCGUGCUACAGCAAUGGCGACCAAACUUGGACUUCCGAAAAGAGUCUCUUCAUUCGGUUCCGGUGUGGGUAAAGUUGAAGAACCUCCCAAUCGCUCUUUGGUCAGCUCAGGCAAUCAGUAAAGUGGCGAGCUAUGUUGGAAAACCCCUUUAUGUAGACCUAAGAAUGGAACAACUAGAUAUGCUUGCUUUUACAAGAGUCUGUGUGGAGAUCACAUCGAGGCAACAACCCUGUGACUCCAUUGAGGUGGUCCUGCAAAGUGAAUCGUGCAUCGUCGAAGUUGAAUAUGAGUGGAAGCCGUUGGCUUGUGUUGGAUGCGGAGUCUUCGGCCACAAAUGCAAGGUGCCGAGUGCUGAACAUUCGCCCAAGAGCCCCCGAGAUGAUGGAAACGCCUCCGCCCCUGGACCUAGCUCCCCUCUUGCACAGCAUCAUCAAAGUGGAGAGAGGACGCGUGACAACCCAUUAUUCUCGACUAGGCCUGCUGAUUUCCUGGUGCAGACGGACGAGCGCCCAACUCCUCUAGAUGAAUUGCUGGCCGCUCACUCACCUGGAGUUGCGCUUGCUGCCUUCAAUUGUCCUCCCCACCAGGAGAAGGACCUUCACUCCCAAUCUCUUCUUCCGACCCCUGCUGUGGACUCAUCAUGGCAACAGGUCAUGACUAAGAAGAAGAAGAUCCCGAAAGAGGCGGCCUCCUCCAGCCUGGCCCAGCCUUCUGAAGAUGGCUUGCUGAAAUUGAAAGGGACUGCCCAAAAAUCGAGCCCGCCUCCAAUGCCUCGAAAGCCGGUUGGUAUCCCCCUUGCUCAUUCUAUUACGCGUACAGGUUCCUCGGUAGCAAGACCGAAAUAGGCUACCAUAAUUGAGCAAACGGAAUGCUCUGAUGAAAUUUCCAGUGUGCACGUUGGAAUUAAAGAUGAGAACCUUCUUUCAAUUGGGUGCCCAUCCCCAACGUCCUCUUCUAUGACUGAUUUGGUUGCUAUCCAGGAUAAGCUGCUGUUACUCCGCCUCGACCCGGCCCCAUCCUUGGAUCCCAAGUCCGUGCCGGCGAAGAAAAAGGCCUUUAAAAGAGGUAAGUGAUCUUCCUUCUUUCUUCAUGUAUAUAGGAAUAUGGAACAUUAGGGGCCUUAAUGACCCAUUAAGGCGGGCGGAAGUUAGAAAGUUAGUUUCCAAAUAUAAUCUUUCUUUUGUUGGUCUUGUUGAGACGAAAGACUCUGAAGCGGAUUUCAAUUCCUUGUCCUCGUUUUUGUUUAUUGGCUGGAAAUGGGUCGCAAAUUAUGAGUACUCUCCUAAGGGACGGAUAUGGGUUGGGUGGAACCCGGACUUUAUAAGAUUUGAAUUGAUAGACAUCACCGACCAGGCUAUCCACGGGCGGAUAACCAUCAAUCUCUCUGGAAAGUGUUGCUGUUUUUCAGUUGCGUAUGGUGAAGACUCCUUCUUAUGACGCCAUCCUCUUUGGGCAAACCUCCUACAUAUGAGUAAUCUUCUACAUGAUUCACCUUGGCUUGUUGCUGGAGAUUUUAAUGCCUUAAAGGAUCCAUCUGACAGAAUUGGGGGCUCUAAUGCUUGGAUCCCGUACUUUGAUGAAUUCGCCAAUUGCCUGGCCCAGUCAGAAUUAGAGGAUCUCAGAUUUGUAGGCCUUCGGUUCACUUGGUCGACGUCUUCUGGCCAAGCUAGAAAAAUGAGGAAAAUUAAUAGGGUCUUGGUAAAUUCCAAAUGGAACUUUGAGUUCUCUUUCUUUAAAGCAUCCUUCCUCAAUCCAGGCAUUUCUGAUCACUCUCCCAUGGUGGUCAGAAUUCUUGACCUGAUGAUUAGGUGAAGACCCUUCAAAUACUUUAACUUUUGGUUGGAGCAUCCAAACUUUACCUCUAUUGUGCAAUAGGUUUGUGAUUCACACAUACAUGGCAUUUCUAUGUACAAACUAGUUUCCGAGCUGAAAUUGCUCAAGGGCAGACUUAAGCAACUCAACAUGGACACUUUCUCCAAUAUCUCGGCUAGAGCGGAGGAAGCUAGGGAGAGCCUUCGGUUGGUACAAACUGAACUGGUCCUUGAUUCGUAGAACCCAUAGUUGGUUGAGCUCAAGCAGACACGACGCCGUAACUUCGUGGACUUGCGCCGUGAUGAAGAAUCCUUCUAAGGCAAAAGUCCAGAAUUCGGUGGCUUAAAGAAGGCGAUAAUAACACAAGAUUUUUCCACCUCUCGGUCAAGAAGAGAGAGCUCCAUAAUAGAAUUUUAUCGGUUACAAAUAUGGCGGGGGAGUUAAUCACUGACCCACUUAUGGUUCUGCAGGUCUUUGUUUCCUUCUUCACUGACUUGCUUGCUCCUCACUCAACCCUGUCUAAGCCCUCCUUAUAGGAGGUUACAAAUUACAUCCAGAGGCCUUUGACUAUGGACCAGGUCAGUACUCUUUAUAGGCCGGUUCUUGAUAUGGAAAUUCGUGAUACGCUUUUCUCUCUCCCGAGAGGUAAAGCCCAGGCCCUGAUGGGUUCACAGUGAAAUUCUUCAAGAGUAAUUGGGACAUAGUUGGUCCAUCUGUCCUCGACGCGGUCAAGGAAUUUUUUUCCUCCGGGCGACUCCUCAAGAAAAUAAAUAAUACUAUUCUCACCUUAGUUCCAAAAGUGCCAAAUGCGUGUGCGGUCACGGACUUCAGACCAAUCGCAUGCUGCAAUACCAUCUAUAAGGUUAUCACGAAAAUCUUAUCAAAUCGCCUGGCUUCGGUCUUGGGAGAUGUGGUAGAUCCGGUGCAGAAUGCCUUUGUAAAAGGUAGGAGGAUUAGAGAUAAUAUUCUGAUUGCCUAGGAACUUUUUGUUGGCUUCCACUUGCUACCCUAUCUCCCAAAAUGUGCUGUUAAGGUAGAUUUCCAAAAGGCCUACGACACUGUCGAUUGGGACUUCCUUCGGCUGACACUCUUAGCUUUUGGAUUCCCUCAGUUUAUGAUCAGGCUGAUUAUGGUGUGCGUCCGGACCCCCAAGUACUCGAUAUCGAUUAAUGGUGAGCCGCACGGAUUCUUCUCAAGCGGGAGGGUCCUUCGCCAGGGUGACCCCAUGUCCCUUUACCUCUUUACCCUAGUAAUGGAGGUAUUUUCGGGAAUAUUGAGUGCUCGCACAUCCCAUGCAAAUUUCAACUAUUUCUGGCGAUGCAAACCGGUUAGGCUUUCUCACCUGAUCUUCGCAUAUGAUGUUUUCCUGUUUAGUCAAGUAGAUUGGGGUUCCAUCACAUUGCUAAAGAAAGGACUCGACUUAUUCUCCUCUUGGAGUGGAUUACUUCCAAAUAAGAACAAGAGAAAAGUCUUCAUUUCAUGAGGCUCUUCGACUAUCCGCAACUACAUAUUGCUAGCCUUUGGAUUUCAUGAAGGUUCACUCCUUGUGUGUUACCUUGGAGUACAUAUUAUUUCCUUCAGGCUUCGGAAGACUGACUGUAUUGCCUUGAUUGAGCAGAUUACUUCUAGAGCCAAGUCUUGGGCCCAUCGCCUACUCUCCUAUGCUGGAAGACUUCAACUAAUCAGGUCAGUCCUACAUUCAAUUCAGGCUUUCUGGUCGAGUGUUUUCACCUUACCAAUCUCGGUCCUAAACGACAUUGAACAAGUGUUGCGCCAAUUCUUAUGGAAAGGUGCUGAUCUCGGUAAGGGAGGGGUAAAGGUCUCUUGGGAAGACAUUUGUCUGCCAAAAAAUUAAGGAGGUCUCGGCAUCCGAAAAUUAAGAGACUGUAACAAAGCAGCCAUGAUGAAGUAUAUCUGGAUCCUUUUCAUAGACAAGGUAUCCCUAUGGUGUCGUUGGAUUCAUUCCAACUUCUUAAAGUGGCAAAAAUUUUGGAUCGCCACCACUCCCACAGUUUGUUCUUGGGCUUGGAAGAAGAUUUUGCAAUUAAGAAGUGAGUCUCGCCUAUCAUUCCUUUGGAAAAUUGGGAAUGGCCUCUCAGUUUCCCUGUGGUAUGACCACUAGCAUCUGAAAGGGUCUCUUCACAUCCUAUUACGGAACCAAUCAUCCGGAGAUCCGAGCUUCCAGGAAAUGCAGUGGUGGCGGAUCUUCUUUCGCCCUUGGGUUGUUCCACGCGCCUCCUUCUAUUGAGCUGGGGUCUCUCUUCUCCGGCGCCUAACUCCUCUCUGGAUUGCUUUUCUUGGAGAUGGCACCCUUCGGGUCGCUUCACCAUUGGGUCCGCAUGGGACCGCCUCAAAAGGAAGAGUCCCCCUGCUCCUUGGGCUUCUCUCAUUUGGGCAGGCGACAUUACUCCUAGGUUCCAAUUCAUUCUCUGGUUGAUUGCUAAAAAUCGUCUACCUACGCAGCAACUCCUUCUAUCAUAUGGUAGAAUUGACUACACCACUUGUGCUUUUUGCAAUGAGGUCCCUGAUUCCACUGACCAUUUAUUUUUUGAUUGCCAUCUAACGGCUUUUGUCGCUUACUUCUGGGCCACUCACUGCAAUCUUCCCUGGCGUCCUAGGCCUUGGAAUGAUAAACUCCUCUGGGCUAUGCGGUUCUUCAAAGGCAAAUAAUUUUUUCACAUUAUAGCACGAUAUUCUUUUGCUGCUAUGUGCUAUAUAAUUUGGAAGAAAAGGAAUGCCGCUAUCUUCCGUGGAGAGUCGGUCGUCCUUACUUCAAUAAAAAAUCACAUUAUCAAUAGUGUGAAGGACAAAGCUGCAAGUUUUUCUAAUAUCCCUGAUAUCCCGAGGAAUAGACGUCUCUAGCGGAGUUGGGGCUUCCACCCAGCUAUCUUCAGCGAUCGACAGGAGCAUGCUUAGAUUAGCAUCCUUCAACAUCCUGCCUCUUCGGUUUCCGGAUGUUGGCUUCUCUUCUGGCAGCGGAGGGUCUUUGCUACUCUUAGCUCUUUAUUGUCUCUCUUGGACCUUCGGUCCUUGCUCUGUUUAGUCCGUGUUGUUCUUCUUUUCCUGUUUCUUGAUUGUGCUCCCUUCCACUCUCCCUACAUAUGUAUCGAGAGUGCAAGAUUAGGAGCCAGUCGAGUUUUCUUGUAAAUUUGUUCAAAGUUAUAAUAGUACUUACCUUACCCAAAAAAAAAAAAACAAUCCAGUAAUAAUCAUUUAUAAAAUCCAUCACAAUUUUCCUAUACGAAAUAGCUCUGUUGACUUCCCAUUACGAUUCAACACUCCUUGCCAUUCUUGUGGAAGAGUGUUCAUGAAAAAUCAUACCAUCUCAGACUUUGCAUGGGACGACCAUUCCAUAUGACCUUUUGUGUUUUCCCGUUGACUUCAAGAACGUGAUCAAUUAAGUCACCACUCUCCCAUCGAUGAUCAAUCAGCUCAGCUAUCAACUUAGAAAGCAUUUCCUUUUGUUCAUCGGUAAUUGCAUGAAUAGGUGUGCACAACUUAAGGGGAGGCAUUGUUCUUGUAACAAAUGCAAAACAAAUAAGGGAUUACAUAUAAUCUACAUAGACUUAAUUGAAAAAAGAAACACAUUCUUUCUUUUCUUUUCUUUUUUUUGUCAACGAUCAAAGUCAACGGUUGAAAGUCAAGGGUCAACGGUCGAGGUCAACGAUCAACGGUCAGUCGGGUUGAAGUCAACGGUGGUCGGGUUGAACCGGACGGGCUGGGUCGGACUGGUCGAACCAGUCGGGCCGAUCGGACAAACCGACUGGCACGUGCCAUGCUCGUGCCUAGCUGACGUCACGAUGAUGUCAGCCGGUGCGUGCAUCACGAUGACCCCCGUUUGUUUCGGCCGCGCAUGGCGGCACGUUCGGUAGUCCCCGACGGCGAUCCGCCACUUGUUUUUCUCGUCUCGUCGAGGGCUUUGAUCCUACGCUUUUAGAAAAAAAUUUCAACUUACAGAAAAACAAAAAAUAGGGUGUACAGAAUCGGGUGUCGGGAUUUUUUUCGCCCCCAAUUAGUGUUGGCCGAUUUUUCACGAAAAAUCAAUCAAAAAUCAUUCAUAAACAUGAAAGGGGUCGGGAAAACAUGAAAAAGGAUCGGGAAACAAGAACUAUGGCUCUGAUACCAAUGUUGGGAAUUACUGAUUCCCAAAAAACCGGAUUCGACACUAAAUUGAACCGCUUAAACAAGUGCGGAAGACAAGCCCGGGAAAAUCACAUGUAUCACCGAUCCUAUGGCACAUCACAGAAUCGAACAUACCUUGUUAGCAACAGAUUAAACACUGACGUCGAUAUGAGGAAGAAAAACCGAUGCCAUUCGAUCCGAUGACGUGAAUUUGCCUUAAAAGGAAGAAAGUGUCACCUCCCUUUUCUUACUGUUCUUUUUGGAGUGUUUUAAGGGAAAGAGAGAGAAGGAACGUACGUAAAUCCAAAAGGUGCAUUCCUCCCUCUCUUUCCCCCCUUAAAUACGUCAUCUCCAAAGGAUGUGUCCCUUCGGCAAAAGACGUCCCCCAAAAGUUACAACUCUUCAACGUAUCCCUCCAUCCAUGGGCCCUAAUCUUGUGGGCCAGGCUUUUAGGCCCAACAUGGGCGGACGGACCAACUUAGGCCCAUCACAAUAAUUAAUAAAACCAUCACCUCAAAAUUUAGAAGUUGAACGACCCAAAAGAAGGAGGAGGGAGGAGGAGGAGGAGGAGAUGCGCCCGUCUUUUUUGUGGACCAGACUCACCUGGGAAAAACCCAAUAAACCAUCAAAGGACCGUUCUUCACCAUGAAAUCUUCAAGGAAAGCGAUGCACUCUUCAAAGUUCUCGUACUCAGUGAAAUCCUGAAUCAGGACACUCAAGUAUCAGCUCGAAUAAUUUCCUUUUUCUUGCUAAGAACCCGUUUGGUAUAACUAUAGCUGCACUGUG
rnacentral:lncRNA from 1 species